rnacentral:lncRNA from 1 species
AUUUGACAGUUUAAAACAAUUAAUAAAAUUGAUGAAAAUAGGUCUGUGUUGGUUAGUCGUAAAAAUAUAUGCAAUCAAGCAUAUAAGAAAAAUUAUGAACGAUAUAAAAAUUAAAAAAAAAAUAUCCGCACAUGCGUGCGGGUCAGAAUCUAGUAUUAUUUAAAAAGUCAAACAGAAAUUUACAUUGUGUUUGUGUUUUUACACCGUAAAGAAAGCCAAAGCAAAAUUUUCAAAAAAAACAAAUAAAAUUACAAGAUUCUUUGGACCUUCCGGAAUUGUUGUAUGCACC